UUCGGUAAAUAUCUCUUAUUGCAAAAAGAAAAGAAAAGAAAAGAAAAGAAAGAAAGAAAGAAAGAAAGAAAGAAAGAAAGAAAGAAAGAAAGAAAGAAAGAAAGAAAGAAAGAAAGAAAGAAAGAAAGAAAGAAAGAAAAAGAAAGCUUGUGCUGCCUGCCAGCAUAAACUAAUUUUUGAAAGUAAGCUCUUCAGGUAUACAACACUGGGGCACACAAUUAUAGAGAAAGAUGUCAGAGGAGUUGAGAAUGAAUGUACUAAAAAGCUGACAGAUGGAGGGUGAGGAGAUGGCAUAUGUUGUUACAGUUUGAAAAAUUUGAGGACUUGUUGAAGGUAUAGAGGCAGACAGUUGCAGGAAAGUAGUAUUUUAAUUUAGGAUGGGAUCAUUGCUAAAAUAUGAAACAAGCAAUCAUUAAUAUAAAUUAAAUGCUCAUCUUUUAAAACAGUAACCUGUUGGCAGGGAUGCAAAACAUAUUUCUUAGCAAAUGAUUUCAGUGACAUUCUUUUAAAAAUGAUCUUCCAGUGAACAGAUUCCUUAAUGUUUCUCUUAAAUUGUUUUUUUUCUUUAACUUGUCCUUACUUUGCCAUUAUAACAUAUAGGUAGUUCUUGAUUUAUGACUGUAAUGGAGCCUGGAAUUUCUGCAAUAUGGCAUGUUGAUUGUAAGUCAAGGUCACCAGAGGACAGGCCCAAUUUUAUGUUUUUGUGGCAGUAAUUAAGUAAAUGUAGUGGAUAUGAAACAAACCCUGAAGCCAUUAAGUGAAUGCUACAAUUAUUAAGUGAAUGCCAUAGUUGUUAGGAAAACCAUUGUCUGCAAUGGACAGUUUUUGCCGGAAACCAGUCGUAACUGCUGAUUUCUGGCAAAAAAAUGUAUAAAUAACAGUUGUGUGAUAGUGAGACAAAUGGUCAUAAUACAGGCGAGUUCCUGAAUGCCCCAAAUACAAUCAUGUAACAGCUGGGGUGGGUGGGUGGGCUGUCAUAAAAACUUCAAACCUAAAUUGCAAGGUCCAGUGUAACUUUUGUUGCUAAUUGACUGGUUGUAAGUCAAGGACUACCCAUAUAAUUUAUCAAUUGAAGACCUUAGUUUUAUUUAUAUUCAUUUAAUACUUAGGCAGACAUAUUCUAGGUGGAUUACACUUUAGGAUUGUUAUCUAAUCCACUUAAUAUAACAUUCGGCUUCAGGCAGCCUUUUUGACUUAAGAUUGAAUCCCAUUUAAGGCUCAGUCCAGAAGAAUUGUUGUGCUGAUGAAGAGGUUUUCCCCUACUGUAUAUCUAAAAAAAAUUA
rnacentral:lncRNA from 1 species